GGGGUGUGCUCAGAGCAGGGGGCCUGAAGAAUGGCUUUUCUGUUUACAACACACCCAAAAGGAAUUCAGGUUCAUUGUGACAAGGGGCACAAAACUUGUGUGGUCUCCCUAUGAGCAAAUGCCCUACACAU
ensembl:snoRNA